CCAGACCUAUGUAAUAAUGGGCAAGAUUUUGGUUAGCGUAGAGCAAGACGUCCAAAGUGUGGCAUGGGGCUAAUGUCAGAGAAUUGGCAAAAGAGCGUGGGGUGCAAGCCCCGUUUCGUCCCGAUUGUAAAGCUAUGGUAUGCGAUGCCAAACACCAUAGCUUCAUUGGCCACUGCAUUUACUAUACGAUACAGGUAGUAACCUUGGUAAUCUACUUGUUGCUCAUAUGUUGUGUCUGUUGCAAACAUCCAAAUUCAUGUCAUGCAGAUGGUAUAAUUUGAUGUAAAAACCAACAGCUGGUUGCUGCAUACCCUUGCUGCAUCCGAUGACUGUUGACUGUGUAAGCAUCUGGUUGCCAAUGCCCCGUUGCAAUGCUUUCAUUGAACUCUAAUUGGUACCAUGGUCCUGACACAAGUUCUAAUACGCUUCAGUAUAAUUGUUUACUCUGCAUUAACAAGUUAAGGACUAAAUUUAUUAUUAUACCGAUUAUUUAACUGUCAUGUCAGCUUGUUGUUUGUGAUUCCGAACUAUGUAUGUGAACGCUUACAUUACAAA
rnacentral:lncRNA from 1 species